UACGUAGGGGGCUAGCGUUGUCCGGAAUCAUUGGGCGUAAAGCGCGUGUAGGCGGUCCGGUAAGUCCGCUGUGAAAGUCGGGGGCUCAACCCUCGGAUGCCGGUGGAGUACUGUCGGGCUUGAGUACGGAAGAGGCGAGUGGAAUUCCGUGGUGUAGCGGUGAAAUGCGCAGAUAUCAGGAGGAACACCAAUGCGAAGGCAGCUCGCUGGGACGUUACUGACGCUGAGACGCGAAAGCGUGGGGAGCAAACAGG
rnacentral:rRNA from 1 species